GGCCGGAUAGCUCAGUUGGAUAGAGCAUUGUCCUGAUACACCAAGGUUGUGGGUUCAAUUCUCAGUCAGGGCA
rfam:Myotis lucifugus cont2.37601, whole genome shotgun sequence.